GGCAAAGAAUUUUUUUUUGUUUUUUGUCUCUAAUUUUUUUUUCUACUAACUUUACACUUUAUUUUGAAGCCUAACUUAAAAUUUGACACAAUUCUCCAUAUAUUUCAUAUAUAUAUUUAAUUUAUUUCAUUUAAACGUAUUUCUUCCGAAAAUACAAUAGUGAACUACAGGUGCAUCCAAUCAUAGAAUUAGUUAGUUGGAAAAAUGAUAUUCACAAUACUUACAGGUAGCAGACAUGUUAGAUGACUUUCAUGAAGCUCAGUACGCCGAAGGACGUACUGAGGUAGAGAUGGAGGCAACUACAAAGGCGUUGAUUAUUUCGAUAGUGUUGAUUAUUUCGACAUGGUUGAUAGUGAUGAUGAGACUUAUGAUCCAACAAAUCCUGAUCAUGAAGAUUAUUUCUAGUACAUGUAAUACAAUGUUCUUUUCUAAUUAUGUUUUAUUUAUCUUGCAUUUUUUAAUUACUUCUUGCUUAUCAUUUUUAAUUUCUAAUUACCCCUUGUUUUUUCUUUCCAAUUGCAGGUGGUUGAACAAAGAUGGUGGGUAACCGUCAGAGGAACGUGUUCUCGCUUUACCAGAGGACACGUCCUACACCAGGUCGAUGCGACCUCUACUCCCUCUCUCUCCCAGAUCCGAGCACGGAGCACGGACACAAGCAUUCCCAUACGCCCACGGCCAGAGACUCCACAGCAGCGGAUU
rnacentral:lncRNA from 1 species